UCAGGAUAGCUGGAACUUAAGAAAAAGUAGUUUUAUCAGGUAAAGCGAAUGAUUAGAGGCUUUGGGGAAGAAACUUCCUCGACCUAUUCUCAAACUUUAAAUAGGUAAGAUUUGAAGGAUACUUAAGUGAUCUCUCAAUACAUUGAAUAUAAAGUUCUUAGUGGGCCUAUUUUUGGUAAGCAGAACUGGCGAUGUGGGAUGAACCGAACGUUAAGUUAAAGUGCCAAAUAAUACGCUCAUGAGAUACCAUAAAAGGUGUUGGUUCAUUUUGACAGCAGGACGGUGGCCAUGGAAGUCGGAACCCGCUAAGGAGUGUGUAACAACUCACCUGCCGAAUGAACUAGCCCUGAAAAUGGAUGGCGCUUAAGCGUAUAACUUAUACUUAACCCUUACUUGAAUUAUUAUAACGAGUAA
rnacentral:rRNA from 1 species